UUUAAAUGAUGAUUUGCUUUUGGUCCGUGUUUAUGAGAUAAACUGAUUAUUUUUCAAAAGCUCUGAAUAU